UACGAAGGGGGCUAGCGUUGUUCGGAAUCACUGGGCGUAAAGCGCACGUAGGCGGCUUGUUAAGUCAGGGGUGAAAGCCUGGAGCUCAACUCCAGAACUGCCCUUGAUACUGGCAAGCUCGAGUAUGGAAGAGGUUGGUGGAACUCCGAGUGUAGAGGUGAAAUUCGUAGAUAUUCGGAAGAACACCAGUGGCGAAGGCGGCCAACUGGUCCAUUACUGACGCUGAGGUGCGAAAGCGUGGGGAGCAAAC
rnacentral:rRNA from 1 species